CUCCUACGGGGGGCAGCAGUGGGGAAUAUUGCACAAUGGGGGAAACCCUGAUGCAGCAACGCCGCGUGAGUGAAGAAGUAUUUCGAUAUGUAAAGCUCUAUCAGCAGGGAAGAAGAUGACGGUACCUGAUUAAGAAGCCCCGGCUAACUACGUGCCAGCAGCCGCGGUAAUACGUAGGGGGCAAGCGUUAUCCGGAUUUACUGGGUUUAAAGGGUGCGCAGGCGGUCUGUUAAGUCAGCGGUCAAAGCCCGGGGCUCAACCCCGGCCCGCCGUUGAAACUGGCAGUCUCGAGUUGGAGAGAAGUA
rnacentral:rRNA from 1 species